rnacentral:rRNA from 1 species
GAGGAAUAUUGGUCAAUGGGUGCAAGCCUGAACCAGCCAUCCCGCGUGAAGGACGACUACCCUAUGGGUUGUAAACUUCUUUUGUAUAGGGAUAAACCUACCCUCGUGAGGGUAGCUGAAGGUACUAUACGAAUAAGCACCGGCUAACUCCGUGCCAGCAGCCGCGGUAAUACGGAGGGUGCAAGCGUUAUCCGGAUUUAUUGGGUUUAAAGGGUCCGUAGGCGGACUUAUAAGUCAGUGGUGAAAGCCUGUCGCUUAACGAGAGAACUGCCAUUGAUACUGUAAGUCUUGAGUAUAUUUGAGGUAGCUGUAAUAAGUAGUGCAGCGGUGAAAUGCAUAGAUAUUACUUAGAACACCAAUUGCGAAGGCAGGUUACCAAGAUAUAACUGACGCUGAG